rnacentral:rRNA from 1 species
UACGUAGGUGACAAGCGUUGUCCGGAUUUACUGGGCGUAAAGAGCGCGCAGGCGGUCGUGCAAGUCGCGUGUGAAAGCCCCCGGCUCAACUGGGGAGGGUCACGCGAUACUGCUCGACUUGAAGGCAGGAGAGGGAAGUGGAAUUCCCGGUGUAGUGGUGAAAUGCGUAGAUAUCGGGAGGAACACCAGUGGCGAAGGCGACUUCCUGGCCUGUUCUUGACGCUGAGGCGCGAAAGCUAGGGAGCAAACGGG